GGGGGGGCUAUUCUUCCUAGGGCAGAGGCACAAGUAUCUUCGAGGUCUUACCCUUCCUGCCAGCCAAAGAGGUUCAUCCAGGCCUUACCCGAGAGAGAGACUGCGCUGACCGGUCAAGAGAAAAUCUACAAGAGACCUGAAUCAGCAGUGUUAUAAAGCACAUAGCCAACGCUAAUUAAUAAAGAAUUUAAGCAUAAUAGCCCAGACGUACCAUGGCCUAUAGCUGGUAGAAACGGAGCUAUCCUACGGCCUACAAGAUAAAAGCAUAUGGCACCAAAUUGGAAUCAGUAGUCUUUAAAAGAAUAAAUGGACUAGCAACUGUCUCUGGGGGAGCAGCCCCGGUUAGGUACUAUUAAGCAGCAUAGCAACUGUCUCUGGGGGAGCAGCCCCGGUUAGGUACUAUUAAGCAGCAUUUAGUGACAUGCAUCAAAACACAUUUUUUAAAACUUUGACAGAAUAAAGUCUUAGUUAUUUUAAUAAA